rnacentral:rRNA from 1 species
UCCCAGACUCCUACGGGAGGCAGCGGUGAGGAAUAUUGGUCAAUGGUCGGGAGACUGAACCAGCCAAGCCGCGUGAGGGAUGAAGGUACAGAGUAUCGUAAACCUCUUUUGUCAGGGAACAAAGGCGGGGACGCGUCCCCGGAUGAGUGUACCUGAAGAAAAAGCAUCGGCUAACUCCGUGCCAGCAGCCGCGGUAAUACGGAGGAUGCGAGCGUUAUCCGGAUUUAUUGGGUUUAAAGGGUGCGUAGGCGGACGCUUAAGUCAGCGGUAAAAUUGCGGGGCUCAACCUCGUCGAGCCGUUGAAACUGGGUGCCUUGAGUGGGCGAGAAGUACGCGGAAUGCGUGGUGUAGCGGUGAAAUGCAUAGAUAUCACGCAGAACUCCGAUUGCGAAGGCAGCAUACCGGCGCCCAACUGACGCUGAAGCACGAAAGCGUGGGUAUCGAACAGGAUUAGAUACCCUCGUAU